rnacentral:rRNA from 1 species
GAUGAACGCUGGCGGCGUGCCUAAUACAUGCAAGUCGAGCGAACGGACGAGAAGCUUGCUUCUCUGAUGUUAGCGGCGGACGGGUGAGUAACGCGUGGAUAACCUACCUAUAAGACUGGGAUAACUUCGGGAAACCGGAGCUAAUACCGGAUAAUAUUUUGAACCGCAUGGUUCAAAAGUGAAAGACGGUCUUGCUGUCACUUAUAGAUGGAUCCGCGCUGCAUUAGCUAGUUGGUAAGGUAACGGCUUACCAAGGCAACGAUGCAUAGCCGACCUGAGAUGGUGAUCGGCCACACUGGAACUGAGACACGGUCCAGACUCCUACGGGAGGCAGCAGUAGGGAAUCUUCCGCAAUGGGCGAAAGCCUGACGGAGCAACGCCGCGUGAGUGAUGAAGGUCUUCGGAUCGUAAAACUCUGUUAUUAGGGAAGAACAUAUGUGUAAGUAACUGUGCACAUCUUGACGGUACCUAAUCAGAAAGCCACGGCUAACUACGUG